AUUUAAGUAGCUUAUAUAGAGCAUAGUUUUGAAGCAGCUAGGGAAAUUAAAUUAAUUCUUAAAUA
rnacentral:tRNA from 1 species